GACCCUCUGAAGUUACAGUUGAGGAUAUAAUGUAUGCCAGGAGUUUCUUCAUGGACCCUAUUCCAGUUUUCACCUGCCUGUCACUUCACCCCAGGGCAAAGAGUUUAUUACAUUUUGUUCAAUGUUUAUAACGACUCUCCCUGGGAAGGGUAGUCCAAUAGAAGAGCAUGAAAAAGACACACAUACAAGAGUAUGGAAUGACCGCGUAUAUCCAAAGCUGUUUCAUUGCAGUGUCUGUCCAUGGUGUGUACCACUCAGAUAUCCCUUCAAAAGGACCUACUAUUUCAGGAAAACUGGCAGUCUCCAGCUGUUGUACACCUUCAGAUUCUCCAUGGGGCUUAAGAUGAGGCCAAACUUCAUCCACCCUGUUGCCAAUGACUGAGCAUGUCAAGGGUAUGAAAGAUGGGCUCCUUCUGCCCAGUAUUCCACCUCUAUAAUGAGAAAUCAUUUUCAGGAUCUCUCUGUCAAUUUUCUGAGAGUAGUUCUAUAACAUGAGCCCUUCCUAUCUCUGCCUCCUCCUUUCUGUUUCCUUUUUUCCCCCCUAUAGAUGUUAGACCUGCAUCAUGUUGUGAAGGCUCUUUCUACUACUCUUGAUCACUCCGUCUUUAACCUCAACAGGAUUUUACCACAAUAAAGCUUACUUGUGUCUAAUUAUAUCUUGAUGUCUUAUCAGAUGCUGUGAACAGAGAACAUUGGUACUGAGACUGGUUUAAGAAAAAAAGCGAAAAGAUGGAUUGGGGACUGGUUCUCUUGUUGCCUGGCUAGCAAGGAGAAUCCAAUCCAAAGAAAAAUAUGGAACAAAAAAUGGCGACCAGUUGCUUAAUAUUUCACUGGCAGUAGCAGCGAAUUGCCUUAGUGGAAGGUAAUAACCUUGCUGGUAAUGAUCCAGUUAGUUGAAUGAUGGGAG